AAAAGUUGUUAAAAAAUGCUGAAA
rnacentral:snRNA from 1 species